rnacentral:rRNA from 1 species
GACGAACGCUGGCGGCGUGCCUAAUACAUGCAAGUCGAACGCUUCUUACCGGUGCUUGCACCGGGAAAGAAGAGUGGCGGACGGGUGAGUAACACGUGGGUAACCUACCUACAAGCGGGGGAUAACAUUCGGAAACGGAUGCUAAUACCGCAUAGAUCUUUUUGUCUCCUGACAGAAAGAAGAAAGACGGUUUCGGCUGUCACUUGUAGAUGGACCCGCGGCGCAUUAGUUAGUUGGUGAGGUAAUGGCUCACCAAGACGAUGAUGCGUAGCCGACCUGAGAGGGUGAUCGGCCACACUGGGACUGAGACACGGCCCAGACUCCUACGGGAGGCAGCAGUAGGGAAUCUUCCGCAAUGGACGAAAGUCUGACGGAGCAACGCCGCGUGAGUGAAGAAGGUUUUCGGAUCGUAAAACUCUGUUGUUAGAGAAGAACAAGGAUGAGAGUAACUGCUCGUCCCUUGACGGUAUCUAACCAGAAAGCCAUGGCUAACUACGUGCCAGCAGCCGCAGUAA